CCUCGGAUCAGGUAGGGAUACCCGCUGAACUUAAGCAUAUCAUA
rnacentral:rRNA from 1 species